rnacentral:rRNA from 1 species
GACGAACCUUGCUAACGUUAUUCGGAAUUACUGGGCGUAAAGGGCUCGUAGGCGGCCAACUAAGUCAGACGUGAAAUCCCUCGGCUUAACCGGGGAACUGCGUCUGAUACUGGAUGGCUAGAGGUUGGGAGAGGGAUGCGGAAUUCCAGGUGUAGCGGUGAAAUGCGUAGAUAUCGGGAGGACACCAGUAGCGAAGGCGACACUCUGGGCCGGUACUGACGCUGACGGAGCG